GCCGUCAGGCUCAGGAUCUGCUCUUGCAGCCGCUGGUUUUCCUUCUGCAGCGCGUGCAGCGCUUUCAGCAUCUCCACGACUGCGGAGACAGCGACGAGCCUGAGGCCCGGGCGAGGAGGGGCGGGGCCAGGGUACCUGAGGAGGGGCCUGGAAGGGAGUCAGGGCUCAGCCCUCAAAAAGGAGGUGGCAUCCUAAGGAGGGGCACAGGUGAGCUCUGAGAAGAGAGGCGGGGCCUGGGGAGCCACGGGUGUGAGGACCAGGGGUGAAGCCUGACGCUGACGUCGAGGCCACAGGGAUCAGGAAAGAAGGGCGGAAAUUGCGGUUUAGCCGCCCCUUCCCUCACAUGGAAGACAGACUCUCCUGGGGGGAGGUCCCCCGACACCGGAAGCUGCAGUCCUCCAGGUCUGGCUCUUGGAAGAAGGGAAGACUGGGAUCAGCGGGGAGGAGUGCUCGCUGCCUCAGGGUCAGUGCCCCCGAGGCUGAAGGCACCACUGGCUUCUUUCAGAUCCUCCACCCAAUUCCUUUCCUGGGAUCUUCAGAGUUAUAGAAAUUUAAGGUCAAGACAGACCUGGAUUAAACUUAAACCUGACACCAACUUGUGUGACCCUGGGCUCUUUCCUAACCAGCCUCUCUGAAGUGACUGUUAUUAAGAUUAAAAGAAGGUAAUAAGUGUGUUCAGCUGAA